rnacentral:misc_RNA from 1 species
AAAAUGAAAUUGGAAAUGAGUAGUGGAUAAAAGAAAAGGAAAAUGAAAUAAAAAGCAAUUUAUGACAUCUUGAUGAUGUCAUUUAAAAGCCAUAACCAAUCACAAUUAAGUAACCAUUUGACUAACUAAUAAAAGAAAUAAUUGAGACAAAAAAAUAAAAGAAAAACCAGCAGCCACCUCUUUCCAUUUUCAGCCGAAACCCUUGCCCAUAGCCAACCUCCAUUGCCAACUUCCAUCAAGCUUAUUUUCUCUCUUCUUUUCACCAUAAACCCUAAACCCCUUUCAUUAAAAGUUGUCCACUCAUCUUGGGAGAGUGUUUGGCAGCCUAGAAAGUGAAGGAAAGUGAAGAUUUAACUUGGAAAAAAUCUGCCCUAUUCAAGGUUAGUGCAUUAGAUACCUAAAACUCUUUAUUUUUAUGAUUUGUAACUUGAAUUGAGUAAGAAUUGUAACUAAAAUGAACAAGAAUUAUGUGUAUACAUACUAUGAAUUUUCGGCAGCCCUUGUGAAGGAAUUAUUUUGAUUGUUUUAAUGAACUUAGAGUGGCUAGAAAUGAUGUUUAAGCUAAGAAUAUGCAUGGAUGUUGAACUAGUAUGCUAAUUAAGGUUUAUGUGUAAUUUGAAUUGGACAUUAGGGUUUUGAGAAGUGAAAGAUUGACUUGGCUUAGGAAAUUGUUAGAGAACAUUUUAAUGGUCAAUUAGUGACUAUUUUAGGUAAGUUGAGCACAAUUUGGACUAAAAAAUAGGAUUGCAAAGUGAAGAUGUAGGCUCCCCUAGGACAGUAGCAGAGGGACUGAAAAUUCAGUCCACUUGGACUGCCAUAACUUGGGCUGUGUUGGUCCAAUUGGUGUUUGGCCAAUU